CAGUAGCCGCGGUAAUACGAGGGGGGCAAGCGUUGUUCGGAAUUAUUGGGCGUAAAGGGUGCGUAGGCGGCCCCGCAAGUCUCAUGUGAAAUCUUCAGGCUCAACUUGAAGUCUGCAUGGGAAACUGCGGGGCUGGAGUAUGGGAGAGGUGAGUGGAAUUCCUGGUGUAGCGGUGAAAUGCGUAGAUAUCAGGAGGAACACCUGUGGCGAAAGCGGCUCACUGGACCAUAACUGACGCUGAGGCACGAAAGCUAGGGGAGCAAACAGGAUUAGAUACCCGGGUAGUCCCUGUCUCUUCUAC
rnacentral:rRNA from 1 species